AGGGUUGAGAGUGAGUGCUUUAGAACUUAUAGUGAUGAACAUGAUUCAAUUGGUUUGGUUUUGGUUUGAAGAUCGUUUUACUUGAGGAAAAGACAGAAACAUCCGACCAUGAAGAUGAAACCACACAAGAAAAAGAAGAGGAAAAGAGAGAAAGACAGUAGGUGGAAGGAAGAGAGAGGUUGAAGAUCAAGAAGGUUUGUGGGAAAAGAAAAACAAAUUAACUAAAAAUAAUAAUAUUAAGUUGAUGAGAGUACAAACAAAGAAUUAAUAAAGAGAGGGUUUUGCUUGGAAGGAAGACCUUGUGGAAGGGGGAGAGUUGAGAAAAUUGGGGAAGUUAAUUCACCAAGUACAAGGUUGGUGUGGUUUUCAAACAACUCCAUCAAUAUAAUGUAUAAUUUCACAUUACAUUGACUGGAAAUGACGAUAUAUCCAUGUGGUCUUUGGGGCUCACUUUGACACAAACAGAAUUUUAGGUCGUCGUAUAUCAGAGUGUUUUAUGUUUUGAGGACUAAUCUACGAGCAUAUGACAAUUGGUUGUAAUAUUUAGGUACACAAAUAACAGUUGUCAUCAAUAUAAACGAUGAAGAAGAGGAAGAUGAAGAGGACGAGGAGGACAGCGAAGAAGAGAGAAAACACGAUUCCACGUCUGAGAAAGAAGAGAUAAAAAACGAUUCCAGGUCCGAGGAAGAAGAAGAGGAGUACAAGGAAGAGAGCGACAACGAUGGAGUAGAAGCUGAACUCAUUCCAGAUCCAUUACCGGAAAAGGAGCCUUUAAUUCUACACAAAUGUAUGUUCAUCCAUAUUAUACACAUAUUACUUCAUAAUUCUCUCUCUUUAUUUCUUUC